rnacentral:rRNA from 1 species
AACGCGAAGAACCUUACCUACCCUUGACAUCGAGAGAACUUUCCAGAGAUGGAUUGGUGCCUUCGGGAGCUCUCAGACAGGUGCUGCAUGGCUGUCGUCAGCUCGUGUUGUGAAAUGUUGGGUUAAGUCCCGUAACGAGCGCAACCCUUGUCCCUAUUUGCCAGCGAUUCGGUCGGGAGCUCUAGGGAGACUGCCGGUGACAAACCGGAGGAAGGUGGGGACGACGUCAAGUCAUCAUGGCCCUUACGGGUAGGGCUACACACGUGCUACAAUGGCCGGUACAAUGGGUUGCGAAUCCGCGAGGUGGAGCUAAUCCCAUAAAGCCGGUCUCAGUCCGGAUCGGAGUCUGCAACUCGACUCCGUGAAGUCGGAAUCGCUAGUAAUCGUGAAUCAGAAUGUCACGGUGAAUACGUUCCCGGGUCUUGUACACACCG